rnacentral:rRNA from 1 species
AACGGGUAGGGUAAUGCUGGAUGCUCCAACUUGACGCAUGUCUUGUUGGGAAAGUGUUUAGUGGCAUGGGAUGGGGUCGCGUCCUAUCAGCUUGUAGGCGGGGUAAUGGCCCACCUAGGCUUCGACGGGUAGCCGGCCUGAGAGGGCGGACGGCCACAUUGGGACUGAGAUACGGCCCAGACUCCUACGGGAGGCAGCAGUC